rnacentral:rRNA from 1 species
UGGCUCAGAUUGAACGCUGGCGGCAGGCCUAACACAUGCAAGUCGAGCGGUAGAAGGAAGCUUGCUUCCUUUGAGAGCGGCGGACGGGUGAGUAAUGCCUAGGAAUCUGCCUGGUAGUGGGGGAUAACGUUCGGAAACGGACGCUAAUACCGCAUACGUCCUACGGGAGAAAGUGGGGGAUCUUCGGACCUCACGCUAUCAGAUGAGCCUAGGUCGGAUUAGCUUGUUGGUGAGGUAAUGGCUCACCAAGGCAACGAUCCGUAACUGGUCUGAGAGGAUGAUCAGUCACACUGGAACUGAGACACGGUCCAGACUCCUACGGGAGGCAGCAGUGGGGAAUAUUGGACAAUGGGCGCAAGCCUGAUCCAGCCAUGCCGCGUGUGUGAAGAAGGUCUUCGGAUUGUAAAGCACUUUAAGUUGGGAGGAAGGGUUGUAGCCUAAUACGCUGCAACUUCGACGCUUACCGACAGAA